GGGGUAAUGGAAAAAAAGUUGAAACUCCUCCCCCCAUCUAAUUUUUAUUCUGAAAUAGUUCUUGGGGUUAGGAAACAAUUAAGGUUUUUUUUCAUUGAUAUUUGAAAAUAAUGACAAACAAUAUAUCUUUCAGAGCAUAUGCAAUGGUGUAGAAAUUUUAACCGAAUCUUAACUAAUGAAGAAUACCACAGGUACAAAUGUUGUGGCAAA
rnacentral:lncRNA from 1 species